rnacentral:rRNA from 1 species
AGAGUGAACGCUGGCGGUAGGCCUAACACAUGCAAGUCGAACGGCAGCACAGUGGUAGCAAUACCAUGGGUGGCGAGUGGCGGACGGGUGAGGAAUACAUCGGAAUCUACCUUUUCGUGGGGGAUAACGUAGGGAAACUUACGCUAAUACCGCAUACGCCCUUUGGGGGAAAGCCGGGGAUCGCAAGACCUGGCGCGGAUAGAUGAGCCGAUGUCGGAUUAGCUAGUUGGUGAGGUAAUGGCUCACCAAGGCGACGAUCCGGUAGCUGGUCUGAGAGGAUGAUCAGCCCACGCUGGAACUGACGACGACGGUACCAAGCCGUACCCGUACGGGAGGACAGGACGAGGUGGGGAAUAGUUGGAACAAGUGGACGCAAGCCUGAUCCGAGACCAGUAACCGCGGUGGGUAGAAGGUAACGGUCCGUUU